GAUGAACGCUGGCGGCGUGCCUAAUACAUGCGAGUCGAGCGAACGGACGAGAAGCUUGCUUCUCUGAUGUUAGCGGCGGACGGGUGAGUAACACGUGGAUAACCUACCUAUAAGACUGGGAUAACUUCGGGAAACCGGAGCUAAUACCGGAUAAUAUUUUGAACCGCAUGGUUCAAAAGUGAAAGACGGUCUUGCUGUCACUUAUAGGUGGAUCCGCGCUGCAUUAGCUAGUUGGUAAGGUAACGGCUUACCAAGGCAACGAUGCAUAGCCGACCUGAGAGGGUGAUCGGCCACACUGGAACUGAGACACGGUCCAGACUCCUACGGGAGGCAGCAGUAGGGAAUCUUCCGCAAUGGGCGAAAGCCUGACGGAGCAACGCCGAGUGAGUGAUGAAGGUCUUCGGAUCGUAAAACUCUGUUAUUAGGGAAGAACAUAUGUGUAAGUAACUGUGCACAUCUUGACGGUACCUAAUCAGAAAGCCACGGCUAACUACGUG
rnacentral:rRNA from 1 species